rnacentral:rRNA from 1 species
UGGGGAAUUUUGGACAAUGGGCGAAAGCCUGAUCCAGCAAUGCCGCGUGUGUGAAGAAGGCCUUCGGGUUGUAAAGCACUUUUGUCCGGAAAGAAAUCCUUGGCUCUAAUACAGUCGGGGGAUGACGGUACCGGAAGAAUAAGCACCGGCUAACUACGUGCCAGCAGCCGCGGUAAUACGUAGGGUGCAAGCGUUAAUCGGAAUUACUGGGCGUAAAGCGUGCGCAGGCGGUUUGCUAAGACCGAUGUGAAAUCCCCGGGCUCAACCUGGGAACUGCAUUGGUGACUGGCAGGCUAGAGUAUGGCAGAGGGGGGUAGAAUUCCACGUGUAGCAGUGAAAUGCGUAGAGAUGUGGAGGAAUACCGAUGGCGAAGGCAGCCCCCCUGGGGCCAAUACUGACGCUCAUGCACGAAAAGCGUGGGGGAGCAAAACAGGAUUAGAUACCCCUGGGUAGUCCACGCCCCUAAACGAUGUCAACUAGUUGUUGGGGAUUCAUUUCCUUAGUAACGUAGCUAACGCGUGAAGUUGACCGCCUGGGGAGUACGGUCGCAAGAUUAAAACUUAAAGGAAUUGAC